GUGUCACCAUAUUUGCAAACAAACGAAUUAUCCGAUUCGAUCGAUACUUUAAUAUCGAUACUUUAUCGAUUGUCGAUGAACUUUUGUCAUUGCGUGCGACUUUGUGCGAAUCAAAGGAAGUUUGGAGAUGGUUCUAAUUAAAUAUAAAUUAGAUAAUAUUUUUAAGCAUAUCUAUGUAUGUCAGAUUCCAGGUUUCCAAUCGUUUCAUUGGAAUUUGGUUUGUAAAUUUAAACUAUUAAAUUUAUCAAAUCUGAAAAUUGUGAUCGCGUUUGACAAGCCUCUUAAGCUGAAAGAUUAAUAAACAUUGUAUACCCGCGACUUCGUCAACGAAGAAUAGUAAAUUCUUAAUCUUCAGUUUGAGAACCGCUGACCAGCAGGUAAGCCGUUAACAUCAUUCGAUCAACAAAGUAAAGGACUUGAAAGGUAAUAUUUCAAUGACGUUUCGACUUUGAACACAGAAAUGGAGAAUGUGGAGAACAUCCUUUAUGUUCGCUGUAAUUGGAGGUUCGAUAACAUUGAAUGUGGGCCGUAUUAGCGACUGCGAGCUUUAAAAGCUCGUAAAACGAUCUUUAUUACGGCUAAUCGGUAAUGAUGACAGACAAAGCACAUCGAGAUUCUGUAAUUUUAUCGCAAGCCGCAAAAUGUUCGAAUGACGAAAAAUAAGGUUUGAAAAUGUAUGGAAAAAUUUGAACUCUUUCAAUAAAUAAAUUUAUGACAUUGUGCAAGAGAUCUCAA